rnacentral:rRNA from 1 species
UACGGAGGGUGCAAGCGUUGUCCGGAUUUAUUGGGUUUAAAGGGUGCGUAGGCGGCUCUUUAAGUCAGUGGUGAAAUCCUGCAGCUUAACUGUAGAAUUGCCAUUGAUACUGAAGAGCUUGAGUACAGACGAGGUAGGCGGAAUUUAUGGUGUAGCGGUGAAAUGCAUAGAUACCAUAAAGAACCCCUAUUGCGAAGGCAGCUUACUAGGCUGUAACUGACGCUGGAGGCACGAAAGCGUGGGGAUCAAACAGG